UCACUGUCAUGAUCGUGUGCAGGAUUGGACAAAACAAGAUGGCAGACGGCAUUUCCAAACAAAGAUCCAGUCAGGAGCGGACUUCCUUAAGCUUAAAAGUUGCAAGUGAAUGAAGUGUGUUCUAUUUAUGGUCUCCUACUAAAACCAUGGUUUUGACAAACCUAAAAGAGCACGUGGAGCAAGGAACUAUCAGUAAGCCGGAAGAGCCAGCUCGAAAAUCUUUUAAGUGUUUGAGAAUUUUACCGCGCACAUGAAUCUAAAGUUCUGCCACACGUUAGAAGGAGCCUUGUUCUCGAAGAUCAACAUGUUGAAAAGUCUUCAUUUUGCAGAAGCAAAUACAUUUAUAUUGUAUAUACACAUGUAGACCAUGUUCGAUUCCCAACCACUUAACAUUUGUGAUAUCUGCAUGGAAUUAUUAAAACUGAGCAUGGGUUGACGUAUAAUAAUCUCUUCAGGCAUGAUGGUUUACAUUUCACAAAGCUGUUCAAUGACAAUAAAGACUAUAAGAUGU